CCUACGGGAGGCAGCAGUGAGGAAUAUUGGUCAAUGGGCGGAAGCCUGAACCAGCCAAGUCGCGUGAGGGAUUAAGGCCCUGCGGGUCGUAAACCUCUUUUGCCGGGGAGCAGAGGUCCGGACGUGUCCGGGCCGGGGGAGUACCCGGAGAAAAAGCAUCGGCUAACUCCGUGCCAGCAGCCGCGGUAAUACGGAGGAUGCGAGCGUUAUCCGGAUUUAUUGGGUGUAAAGGGUGCGUAGGCGGGAAUUUAAGCCGGCGGUCAAAUGUCGGGGCUCAACCCCGGCCGGCCGUCGGAACUGGGUGCCUUGAGUGUGCGAGAAGUAUGCGGAAUGCGUGGUGUAGCGGUGAAAUGCAUAGAUAUCACGCAGAACCCCGAUUGCGAAGGCAGUAUACCGGCGCCCAACUGACGCUGAGGCACGAAAGUGUGGGUAUCGAACAGGAUUAGAUACCCCUGUAGUC
rnacentral:rRNA from 1 species